AUUGAACGCUGGCGGCAUGCUUUACACAUGCCAGUCGAACGGCAGCACGGGGGCAACCCUGGUGGCGAGUGGCGAACGGGUGAGUAAUACAUCGGAACGUGCCCGGUCGUGGGGGAUAACGUAGCGAAAGUUACGCUAAUACCGCAUACGAUCUGAGGAUGAAAGCGGGGGACCUUCGGGCCUCGCGCGAUCGGAGCGGCCGAUGUCAGAUUAGGUAGUUGGUGGGGUAAAGGCCUACCAAGCCGACGAUCUGUAGCUGGUCUGAGAGGACGACCAGCCACACUGGGACUGAGACACGGCCCAGACUCCUACGGGAGGCAGCAGUGGGGAAUUUUGGACAAUGGGCGCAAGCCUGAUCCAGCCAUGCCGCGUGCAGGACGAAGGCCUUCGGGUUGUAAACUGCUUUUGUAUGGAACGAAAAGGCUCUGGCUAAUACCUGGGGCUCAUGACGGUACCGUAAGAAUAAGCACCGGCUAACUACGUG
rnacentral:rRNA from 1 species